AUUGAACGCUGGCGGCAUGCCUUACACAUGCAAGUCGAACGGUAACAGGUCUUCGGAUGCUGACGAGUGGCGAACGGGUGAGUAAUACAUCGGAACGUGCCUAGUAGUGGGGGAUAACUACUCGAAAGAGUGGCCAAUACCGCAUGAGAUCUACGGAUGAAAGCAGGGGAUCGCAAGACCUUGUGCUACUAGAGCGGCCGAUGGCAGAUUAGGUAGUUGGUGGGAUAAAAGCUUACCAAGCCGACGAUCUGUAGCUGGUCUGAGAGGACGAUCAGCCACACUGGGACAGGGGCACGGCCCAGACUCCUACGGGAGGCAGCAGGGGGGAAUUUUGGACAAUGGGCGCAAGCCUGAUCCAGCAAUGCCGCGUGCAGGAUGAAGGCCUUCGGGUUGUAAACUGCUUUUGUACGGAACGAAAAGCCCUGGGUUAAUACCCUGGGGUCAUGACGGUACCGUAAGAAUAAGCACCGGCUAACUACGUGCCAGCCGCCGCCGUAAGAC
rnacentral:rRNA from 1 species